ACCCCUACGGGAGGCAGCAGUCGAGAAUCUUCCGCAAUGGGCGAAAGCCUGACGGAGCGACGCCGCGUGUAGGACGAAGGCCCUAGGGUUGUAAACUACUGUCACGAGUUAUGAAUGGCGUAGUAUGAAUAGUGCUGCGUUUGACGUAAGCUUGAGAGGAAGCACCGGCUAACUCUGUGCCAGCAGCCGCGGUAA
rnacentral:rRNA from 1 species